rnacentral:rRNA from 1 species
GAUGAACGCUGGCGGCGUGCUUAACACAUGCAAGUCGAACGGACAUGUCUUUCGGGAUAUGUUAGUGGCAGACGGGUGCGUAACACGUAGGUGACCUGCCCCAGAGUGGGGAAUAACUAUCCUAACGGAUAGCUAAUACCGCAUGUGCUCGGUGGUUCGUUCUGCUGAGUAAAGUCGUGAGACGCUUUGGGAUGGGCCUGCGGCGGAUUAGGUAGUUGGUGGGGUAAUGGCCUACCAAGCCGAUGAUCCGUAGGGGGCGUGAGAGCGUGGCCCCCCACACUGGCACUGAGAUACGGGCCAGACUCCUACGGGAGGCAG